UCUCUUUCUAAUACCACUUAAUUACUCUUUCACUAGUUUAUUGCUGAGAUCUGCUUAUCUGAGAUUGGCACCAGCUGCAGCUUUUCAAGUAAACUGGUAUCUGUGUUGUCAGUGCCAUCCUGGGCAGACGUAGCCAUGUCCAUGCCAUGGGAGAAGAGUAGUGGCCAGCCUGUCCUCUCGUAAUUUUCCUGGAUGGCCAAAACCAGGGAUGUGCAUAUGCUCUGCAUAUGCUCUGCAUAUGCUACUUCUCUGUUUUGGCACUCAUGCUCAGAUAUGCAGAGCCUAGGUUGUAAAUGAGAAUGGAGUGGCCACGCAUGUGUCCUGCCUUGACCUGGGCCUGAGACAUGACUGACACAUGCUCAGCUGUGGCCAUUACACCAGAUCCUCCCACUGCUGCGUCUCCUCCGCUUGACAUGUUGCCACUGUUAGAACUUAAUGGUCCUAAAGUCUUCAAAAAGAGAAGCCCUGCUUCCUUUCUUUCUUUUUCUUUGUUUCUCUGUAUAUUUCACUUUAAUUGUUAGACACAUAUUUACUUGCAGUUUUUGCAGACUGCUUCUCAAUGCUUCUGUUCAAUGUAAAAUGUGACACAGCUGAUGACCAAAAUAGAGAGACAAAGGAUAAAACUUCAAUUCCCGAGACCAGACCAAUGUACAACCAGCCUCCACAGGUAGGAGACUGCUACUUUACUCAUGCAUGAAGAAACUUUGAUAGCAGCUCAUGUGAGAAGUCUGAACGUGCUGCAGAAGGUUUCAGCAUAUUCAUAUAUGUUGAUUAAGUGCUUACUCAGCCUUUCUUGCCAUCCAUCAUGAAAGAAGCAUUAUUAAAAUUUAGAUGCUAAUACUAUAAUGACCACCAAUAUUGAAUGGAAAAGGAUGCAGAUACAAGGCUGGGCUGUGUGGUUAUUGCUGUGUAUCUUGUUUUUGUACUUGAGAUUUGCAACAAUGGAACUGUGGCUAGGGUGUUAAUGAAUUGUGUACAAGUAUUAGUGCAGUGAGCAGAGAUGGAAAAUGUCAGAUGUUUACAUAAGUUAUUUCCACAGCUACCAUUGUAACUUACAUGUUGUAAAUGUGUGAGUAUAAUGGACUUUCUUCACUGUGUUUGCUUUCUGUUUCAGUGCUGUAUGACUGUAAAUACGAACAUCCUCUUGUUUAGCUUGUUUAUUUAAUAUUUAAUCUAUGUAUACCUUUCCAAAAGAUUUCAGCAUAUAGCAUACACACAUUUUUUUCUGCUUUAAAAGUGCUUCUGCAGUGAGCAUGAGCCUGUUUUCUGUUGCUACAUCAUCUUAGAUAUUUGCAAGAUAACAUUUCACUUUAUUUUGUGGUGUUUUUGUGGCACUUUUUUUUCCCCUUAAUCCAUUAUUUCCCUGUCUCUUUCUCAUAUCAAAACUAACCAUAUCUCUCUCUCAUCCCAGCGCCACUGUAGCAUUUAUUACUGCUAAGCUUUUGUAAGCCUUUGGAGUAUCAGAGGUGUGUGUGUCACUGUUGCUAAUCUAAGAUCGGGCAAUGCAUGUGGGGGUGCACUCUAGAGUCUCAUUUUUAAUUUUUAAUUAAAAACUGUGCCUUAUAUGGAAAUUUUUCAUUCACCAUCAGUAGUGAAAGCUUUGGCUUUUGAUAACACAGGAUUAUAAAUCAGCUAGAGUUAAUAGCAAAACUUUAGUCUGAUUUCUGAAUCCAGGCACAUCUGAGCAAGGUGUUCUGCCAUUUUGAGGCAGUAAAAUGCCAUGGUAUUGUGGUUACUGGUUUCACUGACAUAGUUUCCCUUAAUGUGGUGUUCUCAUUAGGUGUUGCAAGCUGCCAGUGACUGUAGUUCUGUGGAGCUUCAGAAUAGGAACUGCAUGCUUACGAGUUAGAGAAAAGCAGCAGUUUUCAAAAUAAAAAAGCAAGUGUUACCAUGAAAAUAAAAUAAACAUUUAUUUUUUAUAUUGAAAGGCUUACAUGUCACCAGAAUGCUUGUAUGAAUCAACGUCAGUUAAACUGAGAGACCGUAUUUUAACUCCAGUCUCUGGAUUUCAUGUAUUUGAACUUCAUGUUUAAUUGGAGGAGUUCUCAAUUUCUCAAAUUAAAUAGAGAUCAUGGAAAUGAAAUUGAUAGAUUUGGCUGUUAGGAAAGCAAUAUUUCUAUUUACAGCAGUGAGUGUAUUUUUAUAAAUUUGUGGGAGAAAUCUACUAAUUUAAGAAAACUGGAAAAGCGUUGUUUUAUAUACUCAGUAUGUCCCAUAGGACCUUAAUUGAAAGAAUAAACUUGUAAUCAUUAAAACAAGUAUGUUUCAGAAACAUAGUAUAUUACGUUAAAAUAGAUUUGUUAAGCUGCAAAGUAAUACCAGAUAUUUCCCAUGCAUAGUUGAACAGAGAAGUUGCUGGAAACUUGCUUCUCUUUUAACACAUUAUACAUUUGACAACUUAAUAGGUGUUGACUUUGUGGAACACGAAUAAGUUCUUUUAGAAAUAUGGCUUAAAGAAUAAAGUCAUACUUUGUUUAUGGGUCACUUCCUUAUCUGAAAGGGAAAUGAGGUUGUGUUUGAUUUUUUUGAAGAACAUGUUUUCUGGAGUAUGUUUUUGUAACCAUUGUAGCCUUUGGAAUUUCCCAUUUAGGUACUGCUGGACUCAUUUUCUACACAGCUAUUGAAUUCUCAAGUACAUAUCUUUGUGCAGUAUUGCUUUAUUUAUAUAAAACUAAUGCACAAAUUAAAUCUUGAGACAAGAUUGUUUUGCUGCAACUUGCAACAUUUAACUGAAGCUCCUGUAGCAGUGGCAGUCCCUGCAAUCUGCAUUUUUUGUGAGGUUUCCAUGUUGCGUGUGGUGCUGUUAGAGGAACUGCAGAUAUCUACAGCCUCGUUCGUGUUUUCACUGGCCAGCUUCACUCUGCUACACAGCAGAGACAGAAUCUCCUGCUGUGAAGAGUCCCACGUGGAGCAUCUUCUCCAUCACGAGCUUGCAAGGGUUCUGAUGCCCACUUAAUCCUAGGGAACUUGGAGGUCAGGCAGGGUAAUGAGUUCUCUGGGCACAAUCAAGCUCACAGCACCCCACAGACAUGCACCGUCCGCAUUAGCAUGCGCCAUCCCAGGCAUGUGUUGUCCCACAGAUGCUGCUUCAGGCUUGUGGACUACAAGUUGCAUACAUGUUUAAGUGCUUUUCUGGAUGUGGGCCAAAGUGCUCAGUGCUCUGCAGGACUGGGAAUUUAGAUUUGUCUCUUUGUGUCCGUGAAUCACAAAGUUGCUAGUUGUAGCUGCAACACCAUCACAAUAGAAAGAGAUAUUAUGGAUUGGUUUUUUCAUGCUUGUGGGUUUUCCAUUCCAGAUAAUUCAGUCUUUAUCUGCUUUCAUUGGGAAUUCAAGGUUACAGAAAGUAACCAAAUGGAAGUGUUUAGUUUUGUAUAUGCAGAGUGCUAGAAGCCCCCGAAAUGUGAUGGGGUUAUUUUUUGUAAUGAGCUGUUCCACUGGUAAAGCAAAUUAGUGCAACCGUGUAUUUUUGUCCUACUGUGAGAGCAAUUAUAUAGCACGUCUAUUAGGAGACAUGAAAAAUAUUUUUGACAGAUGGUAUGGCUGUGAAUUAGGAUUUAUGAAGAUUAUUGUAUGUCUGGUGUGCAGGGCACCUGGGAUUAUUACAUUGAUGCAAGAAAGAAAAAAAAUCUGAUAAUAGCUGCAGCGUUUUGCAUCUCCCUACUGUCACCUUAAGAAGCAGUUCAUGUUUAUUUGAUAUGGCACUUCUGGAUAAUCUGACAUACGCUCUUUAGCCAACAGAUGUCAGCAGGUUUAAUGGGUGGAAACCAUACCAGUAAGUGUAUUAAAAUAAACCAUCAAAAAUGAGAGCUGCAUUUAGAUUGUGAAUUAAGAUUUUUUUCUCUUACUGUGUGUUGGUUUUUGGUUUAUUUUAUUAUCCUGUUUCUCCCUCAAAUACUCAAUUGCUAUUGCCUUCUAUCUAAGGAGCUUGUUACACGCUUUCCAGGGCAAGAGAGAAUCCUCCAAGGGAUUGCUUAAUCCAUAAGUACCUAAUUUAUAUGUUGUUGUUAUAGCCACUCUUAAUUAUAUACCUUGCUGUGAUACUUAUCUUCAUAGGACAUAGCCUUUGUUAUGAAUUGCAGUCAUUCUGUUAUAGCUCUUGUGACCUUUCUUGGCAUAAUUUAAUACUACAAGCUGAGAAUGUAGCAGAUAGAAGGGCCAUGUUUCCUGAAGUAAAUUUACAAUUAUCCAUGGCUAUUUGCAUGGAGACACUGCGCAGUGCACUAUUUUGGCUGAGUUCCCAAAUUUGUUAGAAAAAAACCCAAACUUCUGUAUCAGAAUUUGCAGAUAAUAUCCUCAUUACAUUGAUUGUUUUUAUAGCUCUGCUAUUUAAGGAUUCCACGUAAAUGUAAAUAACAAUUUCUUUGGCUGUUUUUGUCAAUUGGGAAGACAGAAACACUAUUAAGAUAUAAAAUGUCAAGGAAGAGAUAGUGGAGGUUGAGUGCACGGUAAAAAAGUGAACAAAAAAUAAUUUAUUGUUACUUUUACUGUUCUGAAGAAAUAGCAAGUCUUGCUGAAUGUGUUAGACUUUUAAGAUCUCCUUUAGAGCAGAUCACCUGGCAAGUGUCUGAUAUAAUUCCAGGAUAUGAAUAAUGCUAAUGUUACCUUCUUUUCCUUUUAAAUAUAUGUGUAUACUAAUUAGUUCUUCCAGACCUUUUAUUGUCCAGUUUUUACUAAAGCCUGGCUGUCGUGAAUAUUUUCACAAGUUAGCAGAAAAUGAGGUAUUACUGAUUGUGCCUUCACUUGGUCACCCAGCUCUUAGUUUUCAGUUCAGAGUUCCUGCAUUUAAAGGCUCAGAAUGGGCGUUCUGAGUUAGUUUUACUGCAUCAUUUUAAAUUCCCCACAUUUGCUUUAGAGAAAGUGGUUGAUAUAUCAAAAUCAUCACAGUUAUUGGCCAGUGUUUGUAGUUAGUCUGCUCCACUUUGACCAAUGCUAAUGUUUAUAGUAAAUGUUAUUUAAAAAGGAAAGAAAAAAAAAAAGAAGGAAGAAAAAAAAAAGCCUUCUUAAACUGGGAUUCUAGCUGUGUCCUGGUUAGAUUAAUUGCUUGUCAUAUGUCGUAUUAACUACAAGUAUUUCUUCUUCAUCUAUAAAGCCCUUAAAGCGUGUUGGUUCAUAUUUUCUCUCUUCUUAAUUGGGCAUGUAAGCAGUAAUCACUUAAUGAAAUUAUCCACUCUUAGGAGGGACUGGAAUAAGACUGUCUUUAUCGGGUCAUCAAGCGUGUACUUUUCUCUGAAUGCUGGUGCCUUCAGAAGAAAGAUCUGCUUUACUUGACUGUUGUAUAUGAUUUUAAGCUAUAGGAAGUGAAGUUUUUACAUUACUUUUAAAGAGAGA